CACCAACAAUAUUGAGUGGGAGGGGCAAGUCAUAGAAAAAUGUAAUCAUUAUGAUUCUACUUAAAGUUCUAAAACAUUCAGCUCUCUUUGCCGCAUCUCCUGCGAGAAUGACCAUUCUCAGCAAUCAGACUGUCGACAUUCCAGAAAAUGUCGACAUCACUCUGAAGGGAAGCACAGUUAUUGUGAAGGGACCCAGAAGAACACUGAGAAGGGACUUCAAUCACAUCAAUGUAGAACUCAGUCUUCUUGGAAAGAAAAAGAAGAGGCUCCGAGUUGACAAAUGGUGGGGAAAUAGAAAAGAGCUGGCUACUGUUUGCACUAUCUGUAGUCAUGUACAAAACAUGAUCAAGGGCGUUACACUGGGCUUCUGUUACAAGAUGAGGUCUGUGUAUGCUCACUUCCCCAUCAACGUUGUUAUUCAGGAGAAUGGUUCUCUUGUUGAAAUCCGAAAUUUCUUGGGUGAGAAAUACAUCUGCAGGGUUCGGAUGAGGCCAGGUGUUGCUUGUUCUGUAUCUCAAGCCCAAAAAGAUGAGUUAAUUCUUGAAGGAAAUGACAUUGAACUUGUAUCGAACUCAGCUGCUUUGAGUCAGCAAGCCACAACUGUUGAAAACAAGGAUAUCAGAAAGUUUUUGGAUGGUACCUAUGUUUCUGAAAAAGGAACAGUUCAGCAGGCUGAUGAAUAAGAUCUGAGUUGUCCAUCUACAGAAACAGCAAGAUGCCGGAUGAUUUUUCAGACUUGUGAUAUUUUAAAUAUGCAAUAAAAGCUAUAC